rnacentral:rRNA from 1 species
GUAGGUGGUUCAGCAAGUUGGAUGUGAAAUCCCCGGGCUCAACCUGGGAACUGCAUCCAAAACUACUGAGCUAGAGUACGGUAGAGGGUGGUGGAAUUUCCUGUGUAGCGGUGAAAUGCGUAGAUAUAGGAAGGAACACCAGUGGCGAAGGCGACCACCUGGACUGAUACUGACACUGAGGUGCGAAAGCGUGGGGAGCAAACAGGAUUAGA